UACAGAGGGGGCAAGCGUUAUUCGGAAUUACGGGGCGUAAAGGGCUCGUAGGCGGCCAACUAAGUCGGACGUGAAAUCCCUCGGCUUAACCGGGGAACUGCGUCCGAUACUGGAUGGCUUGAGUUUGGGAGAGGGAUGCGGAAUUCCAGGUGUAGCGGUGAAAUGCGUAGAUAUCUGGAGGAACACCGGUGGCGAAGGCGGCAUCCUGGACCAACACUGACGCUGAGGAGCGAAAGCCAGGGGAGCAAACGGG
rnacentral:rRNA from 1 species